rnacentral:tRNA from 1 species
UCUACCAAAGGAUAAUAGUAUUCCACUG